rnacentral:rRNA from 1 species
ACUCUCACUCACCUCUGGAACUCUUGGUACCAGUGUUUUUGCAAUCGAAAUAUAAAGUUAAGAUCAAGGUCUUUUAAAAUAGUGUACUCGUCUAUUUCUGUCUGUGGCUUGUCAGUCGUACGUCCAAGGGAUGAGCCUUUCAAAUCAAAUCUCCUAUGAAUAAAGUGA